UGUAUUCAUGACCAAUCCCACCUUGCCA
rnacentral:sRNA from 1 species